GAUGAAGAACGCAGCGAAAUGCGAUAAGUAGUGUGAAUUGCAGAAUUCAGUGAAUCAUCGAAUCUUUGAACGCACAUUGCGCCCUUUGGUAUUCCUUAGGGCAUGCCUGUUCGAGCGUCAUUUAAACCUUCAAGCUCAGCUUGGUGUUGGGUGACUGUCCGCUUCACCGCGGACUCGCCUCAAAAUUAUUGGCGGCCGGUACAUUGGCUUCGAGCGCAGCAGAAACGCGAACUCGGGCCCGUCGUAUUGGCUCCCAGAAGCUAUCUUCACAAUUUUGACCUCGAAUCAGGUAGGGAUACCCGCUGAACUUAAGCAUAUCAAUAAGCGGAGGA
rnacentral:misc_RNA from 1 species